rnacentral:rRNA from 1 species
GACGUAGGGCGCGAGCGUUGUCCGGAUUUAUUGGGCGUAAAGAGCUCGUAGGCGGCUCGUUGCGUCGGCUGUGAAAACCCGCAGCUCAACUGUGGGCUUGCAGCUGAUACGGGCGGGCUGGAGUUCGGUAGGGGAGACUGGAAUUCCCGGUGUAGCGGUGAAAUGCGCAGAUAUCGGGAGGAACACCGGUGGCGAAGGCGGCCUUCUGGACCAAUACUGACGCUCAUGCACGAAAGCGUGGGGAGCAAACAGG